CUUCUUUUGUAUUGGGCAGUGCACAUUAACCUUUUCACUUUCUCUCUCUUAUUGGGCAGCAAAGCUGUUGUGCUUUGUCUGCCUCUUCACAACAAAAACAACUUCUCUGCCAUCGCUCACCCAACCCUAUUCCAUUUCCCUCACUCCUUCACUCAAUCCCUUUCAGAAUGCACAGUGCAACGCACGCCAAAGCAGAGCGUCUUCUUGGCACGCACUCCCAUAUUCACAACCUUGGCUUGGACUCCUCCUUGGAGCCGCACGCAGUCUCGAACGACAUGGUCGGGGAAAUCGCAAUUUCACCAACCCCUUUGAUUUGGGUGUCAAAUCUGACGGUGACAUCGCAGAUUUGAUGCUUUCAGGAGAAUAAUUAUCCCUUCUAACUGUUUUUCUCUCACUGGAUCUAGUGUUGAUGCCUCAUGCGGGAUAUGGUGUUGCUCAUUUGGAUAUUUUCGAGAAUAAUUAUCCGUUCUUGCUAUUUGCUUUUAUUAGUUUAUCAUAUUUCAUUUGUUCCAUAAAAGAUAAUAUUAAUAAAUUAAUUCAUUUCUACAGCAAAUGGGGGCCAACGUCACUGUGAAUUGUGUUCAUCCUGGGAUCGUUAGAACCAGACUCACUAGAGAGCGUGAGGGCUUACUCACAGAUUUGGUGUUCUUUUUGGCUUCCAAGCUCUUGAAGACCAUUCCUCAGGCAGCUGCUACGACAUGUUAUGUGGCCACUCAUCCAAGGCUUUUCAAUGUCUCCGACAAGUACUUUGCUGACUGUAACGAAAUUUCAACCUCAAAAUUGGGAUCUAACUCAACUGAAGCUGCAAGGUUAUGGGCUGCAAGUCUAAAAUAUAAUUGCUUUAGAUGCUAGUCAAAUUGCAUUGACAUAUGAUGAUGCAAUGAUUAUAGAGCUUGGGUUAUGUUAACUCUUGGAUCUUAGCUAGAUUGGAAUUAAAUGAAAGUGGUAGGAAAACUCUAACUAUACAUAUUCUUUAAUUUAUUGUUUUGUUUCUGGGGUGUAGCUGUAAUUCUAUAUCCGGGGAUAAUACAAAAUUAUACCAGAAAGUUCCAUCGGAGUUAUUAUAAGCGGACAAUGGCCUUUGUAAAUCAAAGAAAAUAACUUUAAUUUCAUAUCAGCUAUACAUGAAGUAGCAUGAAGUCCUAAGUUACUAUGGAUAUAUAUUUAGCUUUCGGCAGAGGUUGACACAUAUUCUAUGGGAAUGAGGUUUGAGAUGCAAGAUUCACAUGAUAUGUUUUUUUGUAUAUACUAUGGAUAUAUAUGUUUAGCUUUCCAGUGCUAGUCAUUGCAGGUGCUAGAGGUUCCCUUGUCUCUUUGGAAUCCUGUCAAGCUAUGGCCUCAAAACUUCUCAAUUAUGCAGGGGCAGUCCAGUAUGAUCAGGGGGAGCUUCACAAAUUGUGACUAGUAAUGAAACUUGCAAUGUUGUUCAUGAGAAUAAAAAUAUUGCAUCUGAUCAUUUUGAAGCAAAUCCAACUGAGCUCAGAAUCAGGGGCAGUCCAGUUUAAUAUCUUUUAAGAUUCUGAAGAGAGUGCAUUUGUGUGGACAUGCGUAAGUGAUUCUAAUGGAUUUCCCCAAGUGGUAGCAGAUGGUCAUAGCUUUAAUUGCUAACUGCACUUGGGGAGUAUAGGAUAAUGCAAAUUAAGGAAUUUUGGAGGAUCAAUUAUUUAGGAGUGGAAACAUGUCAACGCAAAGCAAAAACAGAAAACAGAUUUCAGUAGGAAAAGAAGAUGAAGAUAUGGAGAUGGAGAAGGCUCAAGCUACUUCAAAU